rnacentral:lncRNA from 1 species
UCUGGUGGAUGAAGUGGUAUCUUUAGCCAUAAUGGUCGUUAUCCAUCUAUAGAAAAUAUUAAAGUAUGUUUUUGGAAAAUUUACAAAUGUUGCUGGCAAGUGAGAAAGAGAGGGGGGAAAAAAGCUAGUGAUCUUUUCACUGAUUAUGUGUAAUUUUUAUCUGAACGACAGUUGGGAAGAGAAAGAAGCUGGGCAAACCCCAAUCCUUGCUGUGAGACUGCGGAGGGGAGAAGCAAACGUCUAGCAGGGAUUGUUCCAGCUGGUGUUCGGCAACCCGGUGUACCUGCAACAAGCAAGCUGGCCCCUACCUUCUGCUUAGCAAGCCAACUAAUAGUUAGCCAGCAUUGCCUCCAAUUACAACAGGUACUGUGGCUUGAUAUCUGAGGUUUGUUCUCUUAAACUACCUGCAGCUCUCCCGCCCAGCACUCCAGUGAAUGACAGCACUGCUGCUCCUUCUCACAGAGAGAUGUGUCGGCCAGAGUAGAAAAUCCAGAACUCUUGAACCUCUCUAUCUGACAUCUACACAAACUGUUCAGCAGUGGGAGACAGGCAGCCAUACCUAUUCCCAGCAGUUACAGCACCAAAAAAGCAGUUGCUUUUUUGGCACCUUCUCUCACGAUCAGCUGAGCUUAAGAAAAACUAAAGAAAAAAUCAUAAAAAAGUUGGUUGGAAGGAGCCUCAACCUGAUGCUUGGACCAGGACUGACAGCAGGAGUAACUCAAGGCAGCCUAUUGUAUGCAAAUAGCCAUUAA